UCUCGGAUUUGAGUGUGGAG
rnacentral:misc_RNA from 1 species